GACAGCUGAAUAAAUGAUUUAAUGAAUACAAUGGAUGUUCUGAUGCAACUCCCAGAUCUCCCUUCAGAAAUGAAGGUCUAUAUGACAAUAGUGAUAGUUUCGAUAAACGUGGGCUGGAGGAAAGAGUUAAGUAAGUCUAGAGGCAAAGCUUCAGGAAAGAGGAGUAAACGGGAAACCUUCAGAGAAGCAGCAACAAUAAUCGCUGGCCACAGGCAGGCGUUUGAAGUUUUCUCAGGCCACAAGUGUAUGACUCCAAAAAAGCGCGCCGAUGUCUUUUAAUGCUCUGACGUGAGAGAAAAACGUACACUAGUCAGCGAGCACAGCAGCAGAAAAUUUAUGAUUGACCCCGGAAACAUUUAAUUUUGCGUAGGUGUCGGGAGAGCUUUCUUUUGCGAUUUGUUCCUUGAUCCGGAAGAAAAGAUAGCAAAUAUCACUUGCCAUUGGAUUGCAUCAUAAGGGUUGGGCUUUAGCGAGCCAGUCACCUUGGCAACCGGACGUGACGACCCCGGAAGACGCCCGACCGAGCUUUGCUCCAGCUAUCGGCUUCAGUAGGCGGGGCGGCAGAGCCAGACUGACGCAGUCUUCAGCACUGACCAAGCUCUGUUGGGGGCGGUGCCACCAAGACCACGCCCCCUGCGCCUGCUCCGGCUGAGUCUGGAGAGUUGUCGUAGGCUCUGGGGGCGGAGACUCACGCCGAUUCUCUCUGAGCGUAGGGCAGUGAGGGCGCAGUCCACCGCCAGGAGCCUUCCGGUUUCUGGGUGUUGCGCGACCUCGCCCCGAAGCCUGGGGAUACACCCUCUCGAGAGCCCGCUGUCGCCCUCCGUUAAGGUCGAACCCCUCACAGUUGCUGUGGGCAACUCCAGCCCAACAUUCCCUCGCUCUGGUUCUCGCCCCAUUGCGAAACUCGGCCCCACGCUUCCCACUUUCCUGGAUGAGGUGUCCCCUUUCUCCCCACUAAAAUGUCAAAUAACCUACGGAGGGUCUUCCUGAAACCCGCAGAGGAAAAUUCAGGCAACGCCUCGCGUUGUGUUUCAGGCUGCAUGUACCAAGUAGUUCAGACGAUUGGCUCGGAUGGAAAAAAUCUUCUGCAAUUACUUCCAAUUCCUAAGUCUUCUGGAAAUCUUAUACCACUAGUUCAAUCUUCAGUCAUGUCUGAUGCUUUGAAAGGGAAUACAGGAAAACCAGUUCAAGUUACUUUUCAGACUCAGAUUUCCAGCUCUUCCACAAGUGCAUCAGUUCAAUUGCCCAUUUUUCAGCCAGCCAGUUCUUCAAACUAUUUUCUUACAAGAACAGUAGAUACAUCAGAAAAAGGUAGAGUUACUUCUGUGGGAACUGGAAAUUUUUCUUCAUCAGUUUCUAAAGUUCAGAGUCAUGGUGUGAAAAUUGAUGGACUCACCAUGCAAACAUUUGCUGUUCCUCCCUCAACACAAAAAGACUCAUCUUUUAUUGUAGUUAAUACCCAGAGUCUUCCAGUGACUGUGAAGUCUCCAGUUUUGCCUUCUGGGCAUCAUUUACAGAUUCCAGCCCAUGCUGAAGUGAAAUCUGUACCAGCGUCGUCAUUGCCUCCUUCAGUGCAGCAAAAGAUACUUGCAACUGCCACCACCAGUACCUCAGGAAUGGUUGAGGCCUCCCAAAUGCCAACCGUUAUUUAUGUAUCUCCUGUAAAUACAGUGAAAAAUGUAGUUACCAAGAACUUUCAAAACAUUUACCCAAAACCUGUUACAGAAAUAGCAAAGCCAGUAAUACUAAAUACCACACAAAUUCCAAAGAAUGUUGCUACAGAGACACAGUUGAAAGGUGGUCAGCAUUCUCAAGCUGCUCCAGUGAAAUGGAUUUUCCAAGAUAAUCUACAGCCUUUUACGCCAUCUCUUGUUCCUGUUAAGUCUUCAAAUAAUGUGGCUUCAAAGAUUUUAAAAACUUUUGUAGAUAGGAAAAAUUUGGGAGAUAAUGCUAUAAAUAUGCCAUCAUUGAGUACCAUCGAUCCUAGUGGGACGCGAUCCAAAAAUAUGCCUAUUAAAGAUAAUGCUUUGGUUAUGUUUAAUGGGAAAGUCUAUCUGUUGGCUAAAAAGGGGACAGAUGUUCUGCCAUCACAAAUUGACCAACAGAAUUCUGUUUCUCCUGAUACUCCAGUAAGAAAAGACACGUUACAGACAGUGAGUUCAAGUCCAGUCACAGAAAUAUCCAGAGAGGUUGUAAAUAUUGUUUUGGCUAAAAGUAAAUCUUCCCAGAUGGAGACAAAAUCACUUUCCAAUACCCAGCUUGCUUCCAUGGCCAAUCUAAGGGCAGAGAAGAAUAAAGUGGAGAAACCAUCUCCUUCUACCACAAAUCCACAUAUGAACCAAUCCAGUAACUACUUAAAACAGAGUAAGACUUUAUUCACAAAUCCAAUCUUUCCAGUUGGAUUUAGUACAGGACACAAUGCCCCCAGAAAAGUAACAACCGUCAUUUAUGCUAGAAAAGGAAAUGUCCUCCAGAGCAUAGAGAAAAUAAGUUCCUCUGUUGAUGCAACAACUGUUACUUCACAACAGUGUGUUUUCAGAGACCAAGAACCAAAGAUCCAUAAUGAGAUGGCAUCAACAUCAGAUAAAGGUGCCCAAGGAAGAAAUGACAAGAAAGAUUCUCAAGGAAGAAGUAAUAAGACAUUACAUCUGAAGAGUGAUGCUGAAUUUAAAAAGAUAUUUGGCCUUACUAAAGAUUUGAGAGUGUGCCUUACUCGAAUUCCUGACCUUUUGACCUCUGGAGAAGGUUUCGAUUCCUUUAGCAGUUUGGUAAAGAGUGGUACUUACAAAGAGACAGAGUUUAUAGUGAAGGAAGGACAGAGAAAACAGGGUGGACUGCAAGAGACAUUACUGUGGAAAACCUGGAAGGCAAAAGUGAAGCAGCAGCCAUCUUGUAGCUGACCCAUAUUGUCUCUGAUCUACUGACUCAUCUCAUUGGCAUGAAGCAGUGGCCACAUCUGAAACUACUCAAUCAUCCCCUGGAUCUUUCUUCAGCUUCUCUUGCUCCUUGGCCAGAUUUGGAGUCUGAGCCCCAAAGCAGUUAAGAGACUGGCCCAGGUCUGUCAGCUACAUAGGAACCAUCACAAACUUGACUCACUCAGCGGUUGAGGAACAGGAGCAAUGUCAGUCUUUGAGGAAAACGGAAACAGAGGAAUGCAGAGAAAAACGGAAACAGGAAUGCAAAGGGGAAGGAGGACAAAGAAAGAGAGGAAGAAUCACCUACUAUAUGCCCUUCCUGCAUGUACUGUGUUCAUCUGGUGAGUUAUGAAAAGGAAGGAAGAAGAUCUGAAGGGAGGUAGGACAGAGAGGAGGAUGAGGAGCACAUUCCAGAGGAUUCAAGAACUCUCACAGAGGACCUAAGAGAGUCACAGAUCCAAGACAAAGAACCCCUCCCCUCCCACCUCAAGCAUUGUUUGUCUUUAGUGAAAUGGCCCUGUCCUAUCAAUCAUGUAUCCUUUUCUUUUCAGUUUCUUCCUGAGUUGGGAAGGAAGUUUUUUUAUUUCUAUUUUGGUUUCCGUGGCACUAUCAAGAGAAAAUCAUGUGAAUGUGAGGUUUGAGAUUCUCUGAUUCUUUUUGUUGUUGUUGUUUUUUCUGAGACAAAGUCUCACUCUGUCACCCAGGCUGGAGUGCAGUGGUAUGAUCUUGACUCACUGCAACCUCUGCCUCCCGGGUUCAAGUGAUUCUCUUGCCUCAGCCUCCCAAGUAGCUGGGAUUACAGGUGUGCACCACCAUGCCUGGCUAAUUUUUGUAUUUCUAUUAGGGACAGGGUUUUACCUUGUUGGCCAGGCUAGUCUUGAACUCCUGAUCUCAAGUAAUCUGCCCGCCUCAGCUUCCCAAAGCUCUGGGAUUACAGGUGUGAGCCACCGUGCCCAGCUGAGAUUCUCUGAUUCUGAGGUCAGCAUGCAUGCUGGUAUAACCCAGGAAUGCCUUAUCUCACAGUUUUAAAUAGGUAAAAUCAGAUCAUUGAAAAUAUUUUAUCUAGGACUGCAGUAAAUGGAAAAGAAGAUUCAGAACUAACUGGCCUAACAUACUGUGUGCAACCAACCAAUUGAGUGUAAGAUAGACUUGGGUUAUUUUAAAUGAGUUAAGGAAGCCCAAGUCUCAUCUUCAGUACCAUAUUGGUUAAAGCCCACCACGCACCCAACCAAAACGCUCGGGGUGGAUAGACAAUCUCCCCCAACCCCCACAAAAAAACUGCUAAGGCCACAGGCAAGGUCUGAAGCUGAACCCACUUUAGUAUCCUCAACUCCCUUGUGCUGGAUCUGCACCUACUUGAGGUAGUUUUUAGAAGGACUGGUUGGCUGCAGGAAAGCAAGUGGAGAUGGGAAAGCCUACACACAGGCAUGGAAAGCACUGUGUGGCUAUAAUAAUGAGGUAGCUACCAUGAGUAGCCAGAGAGUCCCAAACAAAGCAGGAGCUCUGUUUAUGCAUCAGACUUUGAGCAAGUUGUUCAACAGUUUGCUAUAAACUAUAAAAUGGGAUUUAGGACCGGAGAACGUCACAUGUGCUAAGUAGGUACAAAAAGCAUAUAACUGAAAAGACUGGGAAAUCACUGGUUAUUCAGGGCUGCAGACACUACUUAAAUUUACCAAGGAAUUGCUUUUACUUUGAAGGGAGCACUGGAAACAAAGCUCAGUCUCCUUUGCAGUAUCCUGUAGUGUGUGUGUGUGUGUGUGUGUGUGUGUGUGUGUGUGUGUGUGCAACUGCAUGAAUAAUUAAGCUGUUCCUGCUAUCUGUUCUCAUACCAAUAGCCUUUGGCAAUACACUGAUCACAUGUUUAAACUGAUCCAAUGUCUUGGGAACCAUCUUGUGGAGCAUCAGUUCUAGCUUUCCACGUGGCUUAUAGAGAUAACCUGGAAUCUGUGCUGCCUGGCAGUCCUGGCGCCUAGAGGAUGCCCUGGUUCCCUGAGGAUGCCCAGCAACUGGUGAUUCAGACCCUGAACACAUUGAGUGGAGUAUGGGGAAGGUGCAAAGAGAAAACUUCUCUCCAGCCCCUGCAAAGCACAAAUGAUGGUCUGAGAUCUCAAAGAGAGGGCUUCAGUUCUGACAAAACACAGCCAAACUCCUGGCUGGGGCUGCUGCUAAUGAUGGUGAUGUUCUUUAUCCCAGGCACUGUUCUAAGUGCUGAAAAUAUAGAACUAAAUUUCAUCAUCACAACAACCCUAUGUAGUGAGUACUCUUAUUACAGAUGGAGGCACACUUCACAUGGAGGCACAGAGAUGUGAAAUAACUUAUCCAUGAUAAUCAUCUAAAAAGUGGAAGAGAUGAAAUUUAGACUCACUCUAGAUCUCUUGUACCUAAACGCUAACACUGCCUGUCAUGGAGCCUGAGUACGUAGGCUCAUGUGCAUCAUCUCACAGAGGCAGGAAGAUAAAAGUUUUCACAGGGCGGCCUUUCAUCCUGCUUUUAACUUCAGGGAAAGUGAGGCCUGCUUUGUUGCUUGGUGAGGGUACAAUCCCAUGAAGAGUCACACUCUCUGACAACUUUCUAUAUCAUCUCCUGAACUUGCCUUCACGCUGCUACUUUUAUGUGCACAGGGCAUUACCUCUUCCCCUCUACCAGGCAGUUACAUUUCUGCUGCGGGACUGCCUCACCACCUGGAUGCAGGUCAGAGCCCCAUGAUGGAGAAUGGAAAGCCAAGUGAAAGUGCGAGAGAAUUAACUAGAAAGACAGUGAAGCCUGUGAGAGCAUGGGCUGUAAAACUAAACAGUCUGGCUUCAAUUGCUGCUCAGCCACAAAGACAUUUAGCAAAGGCAAGUUGGACAAUCUUUAAGGGAAAAACAAGUCUACCGUCUCCAGGUCUGUGCAGAAAGAGGCCUUCAAGGGCAGCAGAGAAGCCAGUGAUACUGACCUCCCAUCCUAGCAUGCAACCACUCUCUCCUCCCUUAUCUCCUCAGCAGAAGAGAGCAAAUUUUAAAAGGGUAUUAUUGAAAAAGCUAGAGGUGUGAACUCUGCUAACAUGCUCUUAUGUUAACUCUGCUCACAUAAGGCAGCUUGACUCUAGAGCCACAGCCCAGCAAAUUGCACAAUAUGUCUGUAAAUGAUGUUGGCACAGGGCUGAGCCCAGGGAAUGUGCUCAGUAAGUGGCAGUGCUUUCUCCUCAUCCUCUCCUCUCCAGCUCUUUCUCAUCUACUCCCUCCUUUCCUUCCAAAUAUGCCCAGCACAGUUAGUGUUGUCUAUAGGUAAAUGGAAGGAAUCUGCUCCCCAUCACUGGAGAUGUUCAAUGAGAAAAACAUGUGAAGACAACUAAAGGAGACUAAAUCAGUAGAGAAUUAUUUGGAUCUGAUGAUUUUAAACAUUCCUUUCAAACUUAAGAUUUUUUUUCCUAAUUGAGAAGCAUUUCAUUCCCCCAGGACACACACAUAAAGCAAAUUCAGGCAAAAGGUAAGAGGCUUAUCACAAAGCCAAGAAAAAACACAAGUACUCGGUGAAUUAUCCUGGGCUUUGUAACUUCCACUAACAACAACAAAAAGCAGAGGAGGAUUCAGGGGCUAUCUGAAUAGGAUCUACCCUCUUAGCUGAAUUAAGUGGUCAGUGAACUAACCAAUCCAUUUAGCCAGCAUCUAGCUGAUGAUAAGGACAGUUAACUCAUGCCAGGUGCUGGUCAGUUCAAGUGAACAAUUGGGCAACCAGAUAGACAAAUAAUUUGAUUUUGCCACCAAACCAGCAUGGAAUAGUUUAUUUAAUAUAGUAGGCAAUUGUACACACGGACUCAUCUAGCAAAUUAAGGACUCAAAACAGGAAAAAGUCAAGUGUACACCAUCAGAAUAGAUGAGCUUUACCUGUCAGUGCCUUACAGGAACCCACUCCCAAUUUGGGGAGCCAGGCCACAAAGACUAUGGCGUGUCCACCUCCCCUGGAUUUGUAGAACUGGGCUAGAUGUCUGGAAUCCAGCUUUUAUCCAGAAAUAUGCCACGUGGUGCACUUGACAAAAACCACGUCAGAGCUGUCUCUCCCCAUGAACGUAGGAGGAUACUUGAGUUUGGGCCUCAUUUCUCAACCUUCUUUUUUCCAUAUAAACUUGAGUCCCUUUGUGGGCAAAGCCAUCAUCUCCCCUGAUAACUGGUGCUCGUGGGCAUUUCCCAAAUGACUCUGGCGGGAAAUUGUUGUUUACCUUACAAAUUCUAUGAAACCAAGGUACCUUCACCUUAAAGAAAAUGUUUUUUUCCUCCUUGCUUUGCAUUAAGCUUUUACUUUGAUAAUGACUCUUUUUACUUAUAUGACCUUUAUAAAGAGAUUUAAUUGAAAAUAAGUGAUUAUGCUGUGCUUUAGGGGAACGGAUUAAAAGAAUAUUUUGAAGGAAGUAUUCAAUUUGUUUCUACCUCCUGAAAGAAAAAUUACUGUGUAUCUCCUUAUUGUCACACGUUUGGUAGGGAACUGAAACAAUUAUCUGCAAUAGUAAACAUUUAUUGUCAAAGCCAUCAAUUAAGAUUCUAAAGAACUUGUGUCCUCCUGGAUUCCUGUCAUUGAUUAAAAAUAGUGACUGAAGGGCCUGGCACGGUGGCUCACGACUGUAAUCCCAGCACUUUGCGAGGCCAAGGCGGGUGGAUCACGAGGUCAGGAGUUCAAGACCAGCCUGGCCAACAUGAUGAAACCUCGUCUCUACUAAAAAUACAAAAAAAAUUAGCUGGGUGUGGUGGCAGGUUCCUGUAAUCCAAGCUACUCGGGAGGCUAAGGCAGGAGAAUUGUUUGAACUUGGGCAGCAAAGGUUGCAGUGAGCCAAGAUCAUGCCACUGCACUCUGGCCUGGGUGACAGACUAAGAUUCUGUCUCAAAAAAAAAAAUAAAUAAAUAAAUAAAAAACAGUGACUGAGGCUAGUUCUGUUCUAGGAAAUGUAAGUUUGUGAUGGAAACCUUAUGGAAUUAAAGUUCUUAUUUAUUGACAGGCAUUAGCAAACUGGAGAGACAUUUGCUCAAACUAACAAAUUAACACAGCUCUCCAAUAAGUGAAACAAAAGAAACAAUGAUGAAAUAAACACUAAAUUGAAACUAUCUCAUUUGUUCUUUAGAACUAAAGGUUUUUUUUGUCUAUGGUAUAGUACCCAGACUUCCUGCAAUCUUGUCCUUAUUGAUAUCUAUUUACUACAUAUCUAAUGUAUGCCAGCAUAUCUUUCUAUCAUCCUCACAACCCCUCUGCAUGUUGUCAAUUUGACAAAUGAGGACAUCCAGGCUCUGAGAGAGUUCCUCAUGAGAAUUCUCCAGGCAGAGGACUGUGAGGGAGCUGGGAGCAAACUGCACGUCUCAUGAAGACAGAGUGUGUCUGUCUCAUUACUACUCCGUACUUAGGUCCUAUCUUGGAGCCUGUCACAUAGCAAGGGAUUAAGAUUAAUCACUUAGAGGAAUGGACAAAUAUGGAGCAAAUGUCUGACUCCUUCAAAUCUAGUGUCCUUUCCAUUUUAGCAAACUGCACAAAUGGUAUUGUCAGCAAGUCAGUUUAGAGGAAGGACUCUAGAGCCUGAAUUGAAGCUGAAUAGGUGUUAGAAGCAGUAAUGAUGCUAAAAAGAUUUUAAAUGGCAAAAGAUACUUUUUAAAAGUCAAAGACCACUGAUCAAAACACAAAGAUUAUUUUAUUUAGAGCAAGACCAUUUCAGAGAAGCUGUUUCAAGCAUUUCAGCUAUUUAGUUAUUUUGCAGAAAGGCUAUUUUUCAAUUUCUAAGAGAUCAUUCUACUUUUAGAAAUAAGAGAUAUUUAUUUUUUGAAACCAAGCCACUAAUACACAUUUAUUCAGGAAUAGACAUUUCAAAUAUAUUCUGCAGAGGGUACAGAUUCAGAUAAAUACUUGACUCUUAACCCAUAUAGCAUAAUAUAAGAAGCAAUUAUAACUGAUCCUUUGACUUCAGAAAAGAUUACAAUUAUAAUCUUUACAUACCAUUUGUCUUUAAAAGGUGAAAAUAAUCUAAUAAGAAAAUAUAAAGGGCUGAAAUAAAAGGAUUUUUGAGCCUAAUGUGUCAACUUCAGAUAUUCACAUGAUUGUGAACGUGACUAUGUGGAUAUAAUGAAAAGUUAACUAUUUUUGGCUGCCUGUUACUUUUUUUUUCUCUUUUGCCUCAUCCUGUAAUAGCACCAAGUCCUAUUUUAUCUCAGAGAAUCUGUAAUUGUUGACUCUGCCUAGAACAUGCCCUGCUUUUAUUUCUGCAUGAUGUGUAUCAUUAUUUCCCUGCAUUUUUUUUAUUUCCUUGGUAAUUGACUGCAUCUACUACUAGACUAUAAUCCCACAAGAGCAGGGAACUCUUCCACCUUGUCUGAUACUGUAUCCCAGUGCCAAGAACAGUAUCUAUCACAUAGUAGAUAAUAAUUAUUUGCAGGAAAUAAUGAGAACAAAAAAUCAAUGAUACUACCUUGAAGUUUGAAGUUGUUCUUAAGAAUUGGGUUCCCAAGGCCAGCUGUUAGAGGUUGGUUAUCUUCCUCAGGGACUUUGUCUUCAGGGGAAAAAUUAUGCUUCUGUGCCUAACCAGCCAAGUUGUCCUCAUGUGCAUAUCACAGACAGAGGCAGUGUGGACCACACAACCCUGCUUCUUAGCUUUUCUAGAAAGAAUUACUUUAAAAUAGACAUGUGAAUAUUAAAUAAAUAUAUUACUCACAUUGUACAAAUUUUAGGUAAAGAUAAAUAUUUUAAAAUAGUAUAUACAAACACCAGCUACAGACUAGUUUCUCAAAGAUUAUUUUAGUUGUUGUCUGGGCCUCAAUAGCAAACUUAACCUGAAUCUUUGCUUAGAGCCAGGGCACUGUGGGGAAUGUGGACUGUUCUAGCACUUGGGCUUCAGGCUUCCUUGAUAAGUGGUUCUAGUUCAAUCUCACUUUGCUGUUUAUAUCCUGUGACAGAGAGUUACUAAUUAACUGUUAAUUGACUUGUGAGCAUUGCCAUACCCAAAAGUUAACAGAUGGAGAAAGGAAGGUGAAUUUCUUUUUGCUUUGUAAGACUUCAAUCUCUUUUUGCUUUGUAAGGCUUCAUUGCAAAAUUUGUCUUAAUCUUUAUUUCUUGCUAUUUUCUUGUGAAAAGGAAGAGGACACUGAACUAUUUCUCAAGGUGACUCCUUGCACCUACAUGAAUUGGUGGGUCCUUUCCAAUCAGGAAAGACUUUCCUGGCAACCAUGGCUCUAAUUCAUUUGUUCCAAAUUUAUCUUUCUAAACCCAUUCUCCAGACAUUGUACUUAAGAGUUCUGAGGGAAAGGACCUGCUUGCCUACAUAAUUAUUAGGGUUCCAUUUGGAUUGUAUCUUCAUUCUUUUAUUGGCUGUGUACACUGUGCUAAUUUGAUACUGCAGACAGAAAAUUAUGGAGGUACACUGCUUGCCAUCCUGUUAUUUGUAGUCCGAUUAGGGAAGUUGACGUAAAAACAUCUAGAUAAUAAUAAAAGGAGAGGUUAGUACAACGUUUUAAAAAGAAAACUGAAACACAAGUAAGUUAGGAAAAAAAAUUGUCUUGAGUUCACCUAUUUCAUCAUCAAUAGAACUAUAGAACCCAGUUCUGACUCCAGCUUCUGUAUACUGGACACAAGAUUACAAAUAACCAAGGAAUUGACUAGUCUUCUUAUAGAUUCUUUGCCACUGGUUUCCUUUCCUAGAAGUUGUAGAAAUCUUUGCCACAGGAAAAUUGUGAAACACUCUCCCCCAGUUUCUUGCUCCUGUUUGAUAGCCAGAUCCAGGAAGCAGAGUGGAAGUAGACAGAGCUCCAGAAGGUCCUCACACAGUCACCACCUCUAGGUCCCCCUUCCUGACUGCUGUGCCCUGACAGGACGGUGGGGCUACAGUGCACAUGAUUGCCUUAUCCAGCUUGGUCUUUUACCUCCAAGUUACCACCAGAUAACAAGGACUUCACCAUAGAAGCAAAUCAGAUUUCUCUUUAUUAUAUUUUUACAAAAAUAAAAAGUCCAUACUACCCAAAGUGAUCUACAGAUUCAAUUCAAUCCCUAUCAAAAUACCAAUGACAUUUUUUACAGAAAUAGAAAAAAAGCAAUCCUAAAAUGCAUAUUAAACCACAAAAUACCCUAAAUAGCUAAAGCUUUCUUGAGAAAAGAGAACAAAACCGGAGGCAUCACACUACCUGACUUUAAGAUAUGCUACAAAGCAAUAGUAACCAAACAGCAUGCUUCUGGUAUAAAAACAGACAUAUAGACAAAUGGAACAGAAUAGAAUGCUCAAAAUAAAUUCACACAUUUACAGCCAACUCAUUUUUGACAAAGGUGCCCAGAGCACACCUUGGAGAAAGGACCGUCUCUCCAAUAAAUGGUGCUGGGAAAACUGGAUAUCCAUAUGCAGAAGGAUGAAACUAGACCCCUCUCUCUCACCACUUACAAAAAUCAACUCGAAACUGAAUAAAGAUUUAAAUGUAAGAUCCAAAGCUAUGAAACUACUGGAAGAAAACAUGACAUUGGUUUGGGCAAGAAUAUUUUUUAAUAAGACCUCAGAAAGAGACAACAAGAACAAAAAUAGACAAAUGGAGUGACAUCAAACUAAAAAGCUUCUGCACAGCAAAGGAAACAACAGGAUGAAAAGACAGCCUGCAAAAUGGGAGAAAAUAUUCUCAAACUAUGCAUCUUACAAGCUGUUAAUAUCCAGAGUAUAUAAACAAUUCAAACAACUCAUAGCAAAAGAACAAAUAAUUUUUAAAAUGAGCAAAAAUCUGAAUAGACAUUUCAGAUAUUUGACCCAAGACAAACAGCCAACAUUAUUUGAAGAAAAUGCUCAACAUCACUAAUCACUGGGGAAAUGCAAAUCAAAAUCACCAUAUCACCCCAGGUCAGUUAGAAUGGCU